AUGGGCCUAGCGACAAAAUUCCGGAGCCCAUCAUCUGCAUGUCUGACAUGCUGCACUCACUAUCCACCACCCAGCCCACAGUCAACACUGAGGACUUGUUCAAGAUCAGGAAGUUCACAGAGGACUUUGGACAGGAGAGCUGAAAGGUCCUGGUCACCCGGGGAGUUCACUUCUCCUUACCCUGUCUCUCCUCCUCUCAAGCCCCAUUCGUACAUCCUCCUGUCAAAUACAGUAGUGGCUACAGAAGCUACAGUACUACCACACUAGAAACUUGGACUUGUUUGGCUAAACUGCAUUGGCAAGAAUGAUGGAGCAUUUUAACUUCAUGCAUAUUCUUUCCCUGUGAUCAUACACAGAUUCCUGUAGACUAAAAUACUAUUUCUUUCUUUGCCAUCCUGCACUUUAAGUUGUUUUUUGAAGUGACUCAUUAUGAUGGAGUGGUGUUGAAGCGCUUUGAACAAUUACGUUACGUCGUUUUCUUGUCUUGCAUGUGUUUUAUUCAACAUGUAAGUCUUAAUAUAUGUAUUUUAUGUGUAUGAUUGCUCGCUUUACUUCGCUUUUAAAUUCCUUGAGUAUUGACUGACCAUAGCUGCACCAGGUUUGCCACUUGUCCCAGUGCCCACUAGAGCUACCCCUUCAUUACAGGCAGUGUUAAUUACAGUAUUUAUGAUUAUUUAUUAUAUUUCAUUUCAUCAAGAUUUUUGUUGUGAAUGCAUGACUGAUGAUGUACAGAGCUCAUCAUUGAGUGGGAGAGGUGUUUACAUUGAAGUAUUUCUCUGUAUUUUUCUGCAUUAUAUUUUCAUUUUGACUGGAGCCCUUUUUUAUUGCUGGAUUUGAACAUUGAAAAUAAUAGUUCCACGAUACACUUUCAUAUUGUUCCAAUACUGUUGUCAUAAUAGUAUUGCUAUGUCUCUGUAUAAUUGGGGGAAUAUUGGUUGAGUAAUACUGAAGUCAGUUCGGGUCCCAGAGGGGUUCUCACUGCUGUUACACGUAGCCAUGAUGACCAAGUUACCCUGACUUGAUAAAAGACG
rnacentral:lncRNA from 1 species